UUGGCUUAGUAGCGGUUUCGCCCUAAUUUUGCUCGCCCGAAUCGGGCGAAUGAACUAUUUUCAAUUUUGAAUAUUUUUUAGGGCCGUUUUCGCCCGAGACAAAUUUAAUAGCGGGCGAAUCAGGUCAAGUAAAAUUUAGUAAUGGACUAUUCGCCCAAAUACUAUUAUAUACCUCAGAAAAAAUAAGUAGUACAGUCGAGCGCACCAUGUUCAAAUAUUUUUAAGGAGGAUUUACUUAGGCACAUGUGUUACUCAAAAAUAGUAAGUAACCUACUAGAUAAUAUAUUAUGCAUAAUGACUUUUGUUCCUCAGAUAGAAGUAAAGACACAGCAAAUAAACGCACCCUCAGGAACACAAAAGAUAGUAGUAUAAUGCUGUCCCUGUCACUCAUUUGCAAAUUGUGCAGCGUGUUUCCCAUCAUUUGGUUUAGUGUGUCUAAAAUACUGACAGAAUAAUAACAUAUCUGCUUAAAGUGCGUGCAUAAAUGAUGUGAAGUCAGACAUAUAACUUAUUUUAUAUUUAUUGUUUCUUCAAAAAAGCCUGGAUACACUAAGAAACCAGUUAGACUACGUGUACUAAUCAAAAGUGUAACUGGAGUAUUUAUAUGUGGCUAAUGAUUUGAAUCGUUGAACGAUUUGAAUAAUGGCAGAGCAACCCUCUACAAGCAAGGGUGAACUAGCUGAUUUCACUUUAAUUAAAUCAAAAAGAGGUCAAGAUCUUCUCUUGCGACAUGGUUACAGUUAUAAUAAACGUAGGGAAAAUAAAAACGGUGUAAUUGUAUGGAGAUGCAUACAAAGAAAUGAAUGUAAAGCACAACUAAAAACGAACAUUGAUUGUACUGUACUAAUAAGCGAAAAUCCUCAUUUAUGUCAACCAAGUGAUAUAGACAAUGAGUCAAAAAUCAAAAUUGACAAAUGUAUAAAACGCGCUAAAACAGAACCUACUACCAGCGUGCCAAAAAUUUAUUCGGACAUGGUUUCGGAAUUACAAGAUUCUGGGCUUGAUUUAGUAAAGAAAAUUCCAAAUUAUGAUACUGUUAAAAAAAGACUGUAUGCAAGCAGGAAUAGAGCACUGCAAGUUAAAAAAACAAGGUUCAAUAAGGUUCAGGACUUAGUUGUGCCACCGUGCUACGAUAAUUUACUUUUUGCAGAUUUUAAAGACAAUGAAACGCGUAUUAUACUCUUUGCAAAUAAAAAAGUUUUAAACUUUCUUAAAAAUGCAGAAAAUGUUUUUUGUGAUGCAAAGUUGUGUUCCACCAUUUUUACAAGUUUACACGCUACACGUUGAUGUUGGUAGUACUGACAAAAAAACAAAUAUUCUUCCAGCUAUAUACGCCUUAUUGCCUAAUAAAAAAGAGAAUACUUACAAAACUUUUUUAAAUUUAAUUAAGAGUCAAUUACCGCAAUUCUCCCCAAAAUGUUUUACAACAGAUUUUGAAAAAAGUGCAAUGUUGGCCAUCGAAAAAGCCUUUCCAGAGGCACGGAUCCAAGGCUGUUUAUUUCAUUUUAAAAGAUGUUUGUGGAGGAAAGCGAAACAGUUAGCAAUGGAUAAGUCUUUAAUUCAUAAAAUUCACGUAAAAAGAUGUAUGGCUUUAGCAUACUUGCCUCAAGAGUAUAAAAUAGACGGGUGGUUAUAUGUGCAGGCUGAAAAUAGAAAUGAAGACAAAAUAACUAAAUUUAAUGAUUACUUUGUCAAUACUUGGGUUAAAGAAGAAGUAUAUUUUUACGACAAAUGGUCUUUUUAUGAUAUUUCUCAUAAAACCAACAACGCAAUUGAAGCUUGGAACUCGCGUUUUAAUAAAAUGUGCAAACCAAAGCCAAAUUUAAUUUUGUUCUUAAAUGCUAUUUUUAAAGAUUCAAAUUAUUACUUAUCAUUUUAUAACAAAAAUCAAUAUAUAUCUAAAAAAAAUCCUGAGACUAUUAGAUUACAAAAUAGGAUCGAUGAUAUCCUGCAACAAUUGUUUAAUGGUGAAAUAAAUUUACCAUUGUGCAUUGAAAAAUUGCGAGUUUAAUUAUAUUGUAACCUUGUAAAUUCAAAUAAAACACUAAUUACGAAUAAAUACCAAAUUAAAAAUUAGAUUAAGCAAAACUGUGAUAAUGAUUGUGAUUAAAAAUUAGAUUUAGUUAAGCGAUAUUAUAGUAAAACACUGUGAUUAUAAUUACCAAUACUGUGAUCAUUAUUGAAAUCUGCUAAAAAUACUUUUUAUAUUACCUACUCAAAAAAAUAUUUAACAUAAAUAAGUACAAAAUCAUAUUUAUUGUGCUUUGAAAUUUGUAAAAAUACUGUGAUUGAUUAUUAGUAA